rnacentral:rRNA from 1 species
UACAGAGGUCUCAAGCGUUGUUCGGAUUCAUUGGGCGUAAAGGGUGCGUAGGCGGCGCGGUAAGUCGGGUGUGAAAUCUCGGAGCUUAACUCCGAAACUGCAUUCGAUACUGCCGUGCUUGAGGACCGGAGAGGAUAGUGGAAUUCCCAGUGUAGUGGUGAAAUACGUAGAGAGUUGGGAAAGAACACCGGUGGCGAAGGCGGCCUUCUGGACAGUUACUGACGCUGAGACGCGAAAGCGUGGGGAGCAAACAGG